CAGGGGAUAACAUUUGGAAACAAGUGCUAAUACCGUAUAAUACCAACAACCGCAUGGUUGUUGAUUCCAAGAUGGUUCUGCUAUCACUAAGAGAUGGACCCGCGGUGCAUUAGCUAGUUGGUAAGGUAACGGCUUACCAAGGCGAUGAUGCAUAGCCGAGUUGAGAGACUGAUCGGCCACAAUGGGACUGAGACACGGCCCAUACUCCUACGGGAGGCAGCAGUAGGGAAUCUUCCACAAUGGGCGCAAGCCUGAUGGAGCAACGCCGCGUGUGUGAUGAAGGGUUUCGGCUCGUAAAACACUGUUAUAAGAGAAGAACGGCACUGAGAGUAACUGUUCAGUGUGUGACGGUAUCUUACCAGAAAGGAACGGCUAAAUACGUGCCAGCAGCCGCGGUAAUACGUAUGUUCCAAGCGUUAUCCGGAUUUAUUGGGCGUAAAGCGAGCGCAGACGGUUAUUUAAGUCUGAAGUGAAAGCCCUCAGCUCAACUGAGGAAUGGCUUUGGAAACUGGAUGACUUGAGUGCAGUAGAGGAAAGUGGAACUCCAUGUGUAGCGGUGAAAUGCGUAGAUAUAUGGAAGAACACCAGUGGCGAAGGCGGCUUUCUGGACUGUAACUGACGUUGAUGCUCGAAAGUGUGGGUAGCAAACAGGAUUAGAUACCCUGGUAGUCCACACCGUAUACGAUGAGUGCUAGAUGUUCGGAGGUUUCCGCCCUUGAGUGUCGCAGCUAACGCAUUAAGCACUCCGCCUGGGGAGUACGACCGCAAGGUUGAAACUCAA
rnacentral:rRNA from 1 species